GAUUUUGAAUUUAGAUGAUAUUGAAAUACAACUAGAGAUUACCAUUCAAAGCCAUACCCAUAACUUAACAAUUCAAGCAAAGUUUCCAAAUAUCAUGCUAAUUUUAACAGUCUUAAACAGUUCCAAAGAGAAAAUGUUUAAUCUAACCUAGCCUUAUGCUGCAGUAGAUCCGACAAUUCACACAUCCAACAAACUUCAAUCAAUUUACAAACCAACAUGCUGAAUUUAAACACCUAUCCAAACUUACAACCCAGAUUUAAGCUAAUAACAUAAAUAAAUAAGUAAACACAUGAAGAGAAACCAGCUACUACAGAAUUGAGUGAGUUUAAGCACAUAAGGAUAGCAUCUGAUAAGCAGCAUAAGUCAUGGACUUCCAGUUUGAUUUCAUAACUUCAGAUUUCCCAGUUUUACACGUUUAGAGAUCUAGGAAGUACCUGAAUACAGCAAAAACAACAAGAGAAUAGCUUGAGGUUAGGAGGAAAGAGCAACAGUAGAUCAGCAAUACAAACAAUUCAAUCCAUGUUUGGAACCCAAAAACAGCAAAAUAGUGGAAGUUCUUUUGAAAAAGCCAAAAAAAUUGAACCAAUUGAUCAAUAGAACAGUACCCAGGACCCCUUUUUUAUUUUCUAAUCCUGAAACUCUCUCAAUGUGUGUGUAUUUAGUGUUCUAGGUGAAGAAAGUAAUGCUAAAAUAUUUCAGCCGUUUCUAGCUCUCGGUAUUCUAAUCUCUGCCCAUUUUUUAUUGAAGGUCAUCCUUAUAUAGAGGCCUUUUAGGGCAGAAGAAAUAAUAUCACCAUUUGUUAAUUACCCCUUCCCCAAUUUUCCUUUUGUUCACUUUAGACCCUUAUUUUCUAGCUUGUUUGUUAAACUAAACCCCAACCCCACCUUCCUGGAAGUUUCCCAGGCAGUUUGUGAAAGAUUCCUCUGAUGAAAAUGCUCUAAGUACCCUUUAAAACCUUGUUAUUAACCCUCCUAACCUAAACCAAAGAUAGGCCACCUGAUACUCACACCUGGGCCCAAACGGGUGGGCUUUCAGUGCCCAAUUGUGCCUUACCAUAAACCCCAAAAAUGGUCUCAAAUCAGUAAAAGUAAUGAAACAAAUCAAGUAAAACCAAAGGGCUCAAAUUUACCAAUAGAACCCAAACGUGAUGAACCCAAACCCAUUGACUAAUUCAACCUAUGAUUGGCUAAAGAAAGAAAAAGAAGAGAAAAAGAAGCACAAUAGAACUGGGCAUACCGGUACUAUUUAACAAACCAACGGAACUCUAAUUUAAACAAAGAAAACAAAAGGAAAUUGACCUACAAAUUUGAACAAACCAUAGCAGAAAUAAACGAACGAGGUAAUGGUAAAAAGAAGUGAAAUAAGAAUCGGGAGGAAAACAAUAUUAAAGAAGAAACAGACAUACAAUCAAAAAGGAGAAAGCAUGUAUUGUUUUACCAUAAACACAUGAGUGAGAAAUUGCUUGACAAAUUUGCCGGUCUUUGGUCUUGCAUGGGGCUGGUGGGCUUCAAAACGAGUAGAAAUCCAUUCUAAUCGCUCAUCCUCAAGGAGAAUAGUUGACUGGCAUAGGUUUCGACCCAUUAUCGACCCAGAAAAUGGCUUGAUCUCUGACAAGGGGAGUAAGAUUAGGGCUCAGGUUUUGGCAUCAGAUUUGGGAUUUGGAGGCAAGGGUGGGGAUUUUGGGGAUAUUCGUGUUAGAUUCGUGUUCCAUGGAGUGUAGUGAUUGUAGAGGAGGAAUUUGGGGUGGUUUGGAGUUGUGCCGCCACCGGAGAUGGUGAAGAGUUUUAGGGCGGCACUAGGGUUUGGGUUCAGAGGAUCUGAGGGUUGCGAAGGGG
rnacentral:lncRNA from 1 species